GAUGAACGCUGGCGGCGUGCCUAAUACAUGCAAGUCGAGCGAACAGACGAGGAGCUUGCUCCUCUGACGUUAGCGGCGGACGGGUGAGUAACACGUGGAUAACCUCCCUAUAAUACUGGGAUAACUUCGGGAAACCGGAGCUAAUACCGGAUAAUAUAUUGAACCGCAUUGUUCAUUAGUGAAAGUCGGUUUUGCUGUCACUUAUAGAUGCUUCCGCGCCGCAUUAGCUAGUUGGUAAGUUAACGGCUUACCAAGGCAACGAUGCGUAGCCGACCUGAGAGGGGGAUCGGCCACACUGGAACUGAGACACGGUCCAGACGCCUACGGGAGGCAGCAGUAGGGAAUCUUCCGCAAUGGGCGAAAGCAUGACGGAGCAAGGCCGCGUGAGUGAUGAAGGUCUUCGGAUCGUAAAACUCUGUUAUUAGGGAAGAACAAAUGUGUAAGUAACUAUGCACGUCUUGACGGUACCUAAUCAGAAAGCCACGGCUAACUACGUG
rnacentral:rRNA from 1 species